UAGCUAGUUGGUGAGGUAAAGGCUUACCAAGGCGACGAUCUGUAGCGGGUCUGAGAGGAUGAUCCGCCACACUGGAACUGAGACACGGUCCAGACUCCUACGGGAGGCAGCAGUGGGGAAUUUUGGACAAUGGGGGCAACCCUGAUCCAGCCAUGCCGCGUGAGUGAAGAAGGCCUUCGGGUUGUAAAGCUCUUUCGGCCGGGAAGAAAUCGCAUGGGCCAAUACCCUGUGUGGAUGACGGUACCGGAAUAAGAAGCACCGGCUAACUACGUGCCAGCAGCCGCGGUAAUACGUAGGGUGCGAGCGUUAAUCGGAAUUACUGGGCGUAAAGCGUGCGCAGGCGGUUUUGUAAGACAGGCGUGAAAUCCCCGGGCUUAACCUGGGAACUGCGUUUGUGACUGCAAGGCUAGAGUACGGCAGAGGGGGGUGGAAUUCCACGUGUAGCAGUGAAAUGCGUAGAGAUGUGGAGGAACACCAAUGGCGAAGGCAGCCCCCUGGGUCGAUACUGACGCUCAUGCACGAAAGCGUGGGUAGCAAACAGGAUUAGAUACCCUGGUAGUCCACGCCCUAAACUAUGUCAACUAGGUGUUGGGUGGGUAAAACCAUUUAGUACCGUAGCUAACGCGUGAAGUUGACCGCCUGGGGAGUGCGGCCGCAAGGUUAAAACUCAGAGGAAUUGACGGGGACCCGCACAAGCGGUGGAUGAUGUGGAUUAAUUCGAUGCAACGCGAAAAACCUUACCUACCCUUGACAUGCCAGGAACUUGCCAGAGAUGGCUUGGUGCCCGAAAGGGAGCCUGGACACAGGUGCUGCAUGGCUGUCGUCAGCUCGUGUCGUGAGAUGUUGGGUUAAGUCCCGCAACGAGCGCAACCCUUGUCGUUAAUUGCCAUCAUUUAGUUGGGCACUUUAACGAGACUGCCGGUGACAAACCGGAGGAAGGUGGGGAUGACGUCAAGUCCUCAUGGCCCUUAUGGGUAGGGCUUCACACGUCAUACAAUGGUCGGUACAAAGGGUUGCCAAGCCGCGAGGCGGAGCCAAUCCCAGAAAGCCGAUCGUAGUCCGGAUUGCAGGCUGCAACUCGCCUGCAUGAAGUCGGAAUCGCUAGUAAUCGUGGAUCAGCAUGUCACGGUGAAUACGUUCCCGGGUCUUGUACACACCGCCCGUCACACCAUGGGAGCGGGUUCCGCCAGAAGUAGGUAGCCUAACCGCAAGGGGGGCGCUUACCACGGCGGGGUUCGUGACUGGGGUGAAGUCGGAACAAGGUAGCCGUAGGGGAACCUGCGGCUG
rnacentral:rRNA from 1 species